CUUCACCUUCUUUCUUCCCUCCUCCUCGGGACAGACCAAUGAAUGGGGUCCAACUCGAGGAUGACGUCGUCGCCAUGUUCAGUGUGGCCGAGAUGAAGAAACUGAAGCUGAGAGGCUGAGUGCCAAGUCCAGAAUUCUCUUCAAUCCAGUGCGCCACUUAGUGGCCACCGAGAGGAAGUAACGCUAAAUGAAACUUGCUCAAAAGGGCUCUUAAGCCCCAACCUGUGUCUCUCCAGUUAUUCCUUAGGGUAAAUAAGACCUGUAGACACAUCUCCCUGGUUCAGAGUGGAGCCCAAAGCUCCAUGAUUCCACAACUAAUAAAAGAGGCUGAGGGAGGCUUCAAAUUCAA